rnacentral:snoRNA from 1 species
UUGAGCAAUGAUGACAAAUGUUUAUCCCAGCUCAUUAUGAGACCUUUUGUAGGUCAGGGAAUUUAUUUGUUAAACAUUAAUCUGAGCUUGCAU